GGGCCCGUAGCUUAAUUGGCAAAGCCGCCGACCGUCUUUUUAAGACAUUUCAGCAACUUCAUGCAGGUUCAAACCCUGCCGGGUCCA
rnacentral:tRNA from 1 species